rnacentral:lncRNA from 1 species
UGGAGACAGGCAAGAAAAGAGACAAGGAAGGCAGCUGGAAUUCUCUUUGACCAGCCUAGAGGCGAGGAAAGAAGCAGAAGCAGAGGUAGAAAAGGGAAAUGGAAACCUUACCCAACAUCAAGAAGCUGUGAAAUGACAGAGAAAUUUACUAUGAGGGGAAGUAAAUUCAAGAUGUUCAGAAACAAAUUCACAAAGAGAUGAAGACCAUUG